GCUGGGAGGAGGCCAUAACUUAGUGGCAGAGCAUUUGCUUUUCAUGCAAAAGAUCUCAGGAUAGAUCCCGGGCAUUUCUAGCA